rnacentral:rRNA from 1 species
AGAGCAAAGUGAGAAUCUUUGCCGUCGAAAGUCUAAGGUUUCCUGGGGAAGGUUCGUCCGCCCAGGGUAAGUCGGGACCUAAGGAGAGGCCGAAAGGCGUAUCUGAUGGACAGCAGGUAGAAAUUCCUGCACCACCGAUAUACUUAAAAAAUGCAAGGGACACAGUAGUGGAAGGAAAGCGAGGAAGAGGAAAGACUCGUAUCGAAAGAUAUAGUGAAAAAAUAAGUAACGAAUUUCCAAGAAGCACACUGGCGAGAAAAGCUUGUAGGAAUUGUAUAAAGGUGCCCGUACCGCAAACCGACACAGGUAGAUGAGGAGAGGAUCCUAAGAUGAGCGAGAGAAGCAUUGUUAAGGAACUCGGCAAAUUGACCCCGUAACUUAGGGAGAAGGGGUGCCAAAGUAAAAUUUGGUCGCAGAGAAGAGGCCCAAGCAACUGUUUAACAAAAACACAGGUUUCUGCUAAAUCGAAAGAUGAAGUAUAGGAGCUGACGCCUGCCCAGUGCUGGAAGGUUAAGGGGAAGAGUUAGAUGUAAGUCGAAGCUUAGAACCAAAGCCCCAGUGAACGGCGGCCGUAACUAUAACGGUCCUAAGGUAGCGAAAUUCCUUGUCAGGUAAGUUCUGACCCGCACGAAAGGCGUAAUGAUUUGGGCGCUGUCUCGACAAUGUACUCGGCGAAAUUGUAGUACUAGUGAAGAUGCUAGUUACCUGCGACAAGACAGAAAGACCCCAUGGAGCUUUACUGUAGCUUGAUACUGGGUUUCGAUAAUUUAUGUACAGGAUAGGUGGGAGGCGAAGAAGCAAUUGCGCCAGCAGUUGUGGAGUCAUCCUUGGGAUACCACCCUUAAGUUAUUGAAAUUCUAACCUGUAGUCCUGAGCGGGCUAGGGGACAAUGUCAGGCGGGCAGUUUGACUGGGGCGGUCGCCUCCAAAAGAGUAACGGAGGCGCGCAAAGGUUUCCUCAGCGCGGACAGAAAUCGCGCGAAAGAGUGCAAAGGCAGAAGGAAGCUUAACUGAGAGACUGACAAGUCGACCAGAUACGAAAGUAGGUCUUAGUGAUCCGGCGGUAGUGAGUGGAAAUGCCGUCGCUCAACGGACAAAAGUUACCCUGGGGAUAACAGGCUUAUCUCCCCCAAGAGUUCACAUCGACGGGGAGGUUUGGCACCUCGAUGUCGGCUCA